GAUGAACGCUGGCGGCGUGCCUAAUACAUGCAAGUCGAGCGAAUGGAUUAAGAGCUUGCUCUUAUGAAGUUAGCGGCGGACGGGUGAGUAACACAUGGUAACCUGCCCAUAAGACUGGGAUAACUCCGGGAAACCGGGGCUAAUACCGGAUAAUAUUUUGAACUGCAUGGUUCAAAAUUGAAAUGCGGCUUCGGCUGUCACUUAUGGAUGGACCCGCGUCGCAUUAGCUAGUUGGUGAGGUAACGGCUCACCAAGGCAACGAUGCGUAGCCGACCUGAGAGGGUGAUCGGCCACACUGGGACUGAGACACGGCCCAGACUCCUACGGGAGGCAGCAGUAGGGAAUCUUCCGCAAUGGACGAAAGUCUGACGGAGCAACGCCGCGUGAGUGAUGAAGGCUUUCGGGUCGUAAAACUCUGUUGUUAGGGAAGAACAAGUGCUAGUUGAAUAAGCUGGCACCUUGACGGUACCUAACCAGAAAGCCACGGCUAACUACGUGCCAGCAGCCGCAGUAA
rnacentral:rRNA from 1 species